ACUCCUCACAAUCUUGUGAGAGUUUCCACUAUGAUGCUUGAGAUAACCUCUCAAAUCCUGCACCUUACAAUCUUUGUUCACCUGAACAAUUACAAUUCUGUAUUCUCUAAGCCUCAGCAGGCUUGCACCUUGUUGCUAAGUUAACCACUUAGACUUUUACAACCUUUGCUCAAACUAACACUUUAGUACCCCUAAAGCUAGAUGAGGCUUUGUUACAAUUUGUAUGGAGGUUGAAUGUUUGUGAAUCAAACAAAGGAGAAGGAAGAAGUUAUCAUUCAGAUAACAGAGAGUAUUGAUUUGCACUAAGUAAACGAAAGCCUUAGAGAUUGAUCAAUUUCAGUUUUGCAAAAGCUUCAAACAAUCUUUGUUGUUUUCUUGUAUGCUUUGCAAUGGUGCAAGUAAUGCUGAGCCUUUGAUCUCU
rnacentral:lncRNA from 1 species